UUCGGGGAGCUUAUACAGGUGUUGCAUGGCUGUCGUCAGCUCGUGUCGUGAGAUGUUCGGUUAAGUCCGCUAACGAGCGCAACCCUCGCCGUAUGUUACAAGUGUCAUACGGGACUGCCGGUAAAAAGCCGGAGGAAGGUGAGGAUGAUGUCAAGUCAGCAUGACCUUUAUAUCCAGGGCUACACACACGCUACAAUGGUCUGUACAAUUGGUUGCCAAGCCGCGAGGCGGAGCCAAUCCGUAAAGCAGGCCUCAGUUCAGAUUGCAGUCUGCAACUCGACUGCAUGAAGCCGGAGUUGCUAGUAACCGCAGGUCAGCAAUACUGCGGUGAAUACGUUCCCGGGUCUU
rnacentral:rRNA from 1 species